rnacentral:rRNA from 1 species
GACGAACGCUGGCGGCGUGCCUAACACAUGCAAGUCGAACGGAAAGGCCCUGCUUUUGUCGGGUGCUCGAGUGGCGAACGGGAGAGUAACACGUGAGUCACCUGCCCUGGACUUUGGGAUAUCUUCAGGCAACUGGGGCUAAUACCGGCUUGGAGCUCCUGCUGCUUGGUGGGGGUUGGAAAGUUACGGCGGUAGGGGAUGGACUUGCGGCUUAUCAGCUUGUUGGUGGGGUAGUGGCUUACCCAGGCUUUGACGGGUAGCCGGCCUGAGAGGGGGACCGGCCACAAUGGGACUGAGAUACGGCCCAGACUCCUACGGGAGGCAGCAGUGGGGAAUAUUGCACAAUGGGCGGAAGCCUGAUGAAACAACGCCGCGUGCGGGAUGACGGCCGUCGGGUGGUGAACCGCUUUCGGCUGUGACGAAGCGUGAGUGACGGUAAUAAGUGAAGAAGCACCGGCUAACUACGUG